GAUGAACGCUGGCGGCGUGCUUAACACAUGCAAGUCGAACGAAGGCUUUACGACAGAACUCUUCGGAGGGAAGAUGGAAAGACUUAGUGGCGGACGGGUGAGUAACGCGUGGGUAACCUGCCCCAUACAGGGGAAUAACAGCCGGAAACGGCUGCUAAUGCCGCAUACGCGCACAGAGCCGCAUGGCACGGUGUGAAAAGCUCCGGCAGUAUGGGAUGGGCCCGCGUCUGAUUAGCUGGUUGGUAAGGUAACGGCUUACCAAGGCGACGAUCAGUAGCCGGCUUGAGAGAGUGGACGGCCACAUUGGGACUGAGACACGGCCCAAACUCCUACGGGAGGCAGCAGUGGGGAAUAUUGCACAAUGGGGGAAACCCUGAUGCAGCGACGCCGCGUGAAGGAAGAAGUAUUUCGGUAUGUAAACUUCUAUCAGCAGGGAAGAAGAAAGACGGUACCUGACUAAGAAGCUCCGGCUAAAUACGUGCCAGCAGCCGCCGUAAGAC
rnacentral:rRNA from 1 species